rnacentral:lncRNA from 1 species
UACCGACUGGCCUAUCAAGCAAAUUUAAGCUCCACUGAAUAUCUAUUUACCAAUUUUAUGCUAUUUUACUUUUUUCCCAAUUCCUUAUUGUGUACUUAAGAGAAAAUAAAUUAAAAAUCAGUUAGAAAGUGAGAACAAAAGAAGAGGGUCAAAUAAUUAUUGAACUGAAAUUAAAGCAUUGUAAAUUGAAAUUUUAGAUUAGCACUCAUAUCAGCUCAAAAUUAGAACAAAUCGUAAACCCAUAACUUCAUUCAGUAAAUCGCGAAUGAAUGACACUUAACAAGCAAGAGUACCAAAAUAAAAAUUGAAAUCACAAAAUAAAAUGAUUUGGAAAGAGAAUAGAACUUACUUGCUAUUGCAAAACGUGAGAAACGAGAGAGAUGAAACCUCAUUCAGCAAAUCGCAAAGUAAUGACACUUAACAAGUAAGAUUACCAAAAUAAAAAUUGAAAUCGCAAACUAAAAUGAUUCGGAAAGAGAAUACAACUUACUUGCUACUGCAAAUCGCGAAGUGAAAUGAGAGAGAUGAAUUUAGGGUUGUUUAAAAUAAAAUUUACGGUUUUUGGGGAUUAGGGUUUGUUAAGACAAUAGAGAGAAAAGGGUUUUAGAAAUGCAAAGAAAAAGAAAAGGUUUCUAAGUGUUUUUCGAAGGCGAUGUGUAGUUGCAUUUUCAUGGUACAAGA